ensembl:snRNA U6 U6 spliceosomal RNA
AUGCGGGGAUUGACAGCACACGUACCAAAAUUGGACGACACAGAGAAGAGUAGCAUGGCCCCUGAGUCAGAGUGACAGGCAAAUUAGUGAAGUGCUCCUUAUUUUU